rnacentral:rRNA from 1 species
UACGUAGGGUGCGAGCGUUGUCCGGAAUUAUUGGGCGUAAAGAGCUCGUAGGCGGUAGGCCAAGUCUGCUGUGAAAUCGCCCGGCUCAACUGGGCGCGGUCGGUGGAAACUGGUCAACUGGAGGACGGUAGAGGCGAGUGGAAUUCCCGGUGUAGUGGUGAAAUCGUAGAGAUGUGGAGGAACACCGAUGGCGAAGGCAGCCCCUGGGUCAAGAUUGACGCUCAUGCACGAAAAGCGUUGGGGAGCAAAC